AAUACUUUGGCAGAAAAGUGCAAUAAAUUUAGAAUUUACAUAUAUGUAAUACAUCUUUACAUAAGUAUUA
rnacentral:tRNA from 1 species